rfam:Paenisporosarcina sp. HGH0030 genomic scaffold acAqH-supercont1.2, whole genome shotgun sequence.
GGGGACGUUACGGAUUCGACAGGGAUGGUCUGAGCUUAAGUUGCGCGUCGGAGGGAUCGGCUCCGUAUCAACGUCAUUUUAUAAUAACUGGCAAAAACCAAAACCUAGCAUUCGCAGCGUAAGCUGACAAUGUUGCUUGUCUUGACCAUCGCCCAUGUGGUCCUGUACGAGCUCACUCUUAGUGGGAUACGAUCGUCGGUGCGACUUGAGCCGCCGAGAAGAGACUUUCAAGUUAGCGCACAAGACGCCCGCUUGUCGGCAUAAUGCUGCGCGAAACCUCAAUAGGCAAGAUACACGCGUAGAAGCUUAAGUGUUGGAGUUUCUGGACGCGGGUUCGAUUCCCGCCGUCUCCAUAU